GAGCCUUCUUCCCUUUAGCAGAGCCAUUUAAUAUGGUUUUUGGAUAUGCAGUAGUAGGCCUAUAGCCUGCUUCAUAAUUAAGGUAAGGUUGCUGAUUGCUCAGCAUAAUGAAGAGAACAUUUUCAGUGUGCAGAGGAAACUGGGCAAGAGAGAAGAAAGAAGCAGGCAGCGCACAGUCCAACAACAUGGCAGAUGGCCAGGUCUGAGCCAAAAAUACGUCUGUGAGAGUUUCAUUGUGGAUGUUGAUGUGGUGAAUGGCUUUGGAAGACAAAUUAGAGCUCCCUUCAAGACAAAGGGCAGAUUUGUUUGCUGUCCAGAAUAAUAAAGGUUGGUCUAAUUUAAAAGAAGACAAGGAGAGAACACGUGAGCCAAAAAGCACAAAAUAAAGAUGGAGGAUCUGUCUUUACCAAAAAGUAAAACCCAGAUGACCAAGAAUAUCCAAGACAUUAGAUGAAGAAUCUCCGGGGAACAAAGGACUGUGGUGAUUACAGACUCUGGAGUUAUAGCAGACAUUAUGAUGUAACCACCCAGAUCCCUUCCACUAGUUAAGGACUUAUUUCCCAAUUGCUGGAGGACAGCCGGGGCAGAGUGUUCAGUUGUCUUUGGAACUGCCUUGGAUGAUGAGAGUCACCUUGCUGGAGGCUGCACACACCCCCUUCCCAAGAUCUAAUGACUGGUGCGUGCUGGGAUAC